UUGCACUGUUACGAGGAAUCAGACGCUCGAAAGUCCCGUACCAAAACACAUCAUGGCCGACGUUUAUCUCGAAUCGUUUCCUUUUUCGGUUUGGCUUCAGUUGGAAAGGCAAACUUCAUUGUCUCAUGAUUACCUUGUCGACGAGCUUACUAAGCACCUUGGCAUUACAAGGCAAGAUGUUCAAUGUAAAUUUUUCUGUGGACACUCUCAAAUUUUGCCUGGCAGUUGUGACCCAUGGCCCAAAAGCGAUACUUUUGUUAGAACAAGUAUCUCAUUGGCUGGCGGGAAAGGUGGCUUCGGUUCUAUGUUGAGAGCUAUUGGAGCCCAAAUUGAAAAAACUACCAACCGUGAAGCUUGUCGUGACUUGAGUGGGAGGCGGCUUAGGGAUAUUAAUGAGGAGAAAAGACUUAAAGAUUGGGUGUCAAAGCAAGCUGAUAGAGAAAAGGAGAGAGAAGAAAGAAAACAGAAAAAGCUGGAGAAGCUAAGACAGGAAUAUCAUCAUGAAUUUCAUGAUCCUGAAUAUUUUAGAGUGAGAUCAGAGGUUCUUGACACUGUGAAUGAGGCUUUGGAACAAGGAUUACAGGCUUCCAGUUCAACAGCUGUUGAGCCACCAUUGAAAAAACAUAAAGCUUCUGAGGAUGGGCCAGCAUUAAAAAAAACAGCCUUUUGGAUUGGGGUUUCCGAUGAAGAAUCUGACUCAUCGGAAGAUGAACACAAAUCAUCACCGAACACUAGCUGCAAGACCGAAGAAGGAGAAUCUAAAGCACCUGAACCCAACAGCCAAGCGUCUGACGAGCGGCAAACCGAACCAAUUGAAACGUCCGAUGAAACCGAAUCCCCCAAUACUCCAAAAGAAGAUAACAUUCCUGUGGCCAGUCCUACUAAAUCAGUAGUUGAUACCCCACCCAAACUGCAAACUGCUGAAGAGACUGUCGUUCCCUCCACACCUGCAGUCGAGGAACAGGUUGCCGUUCCUACACCAGCCGCUCCCGAACCGACGGUCUUCUUACCUAUCGACUUGCAGAAUUUCGACAGUUCCAAAGCUUUGGAGUCGUUAGGUCUUAACCAUCUGAAACACGAACUGCAACGACUUGGCCUGAAAUGUGGUGGAUCCCUUUCAGAACGUGCAUCACGUCUUUACAGUAUCAAAGGACUCUCCAUGGAGGAGAUAGAUCCCAGUCUCCUUUCCAAGCCGCCAAAGAAGAAAUGAAUGCAAAUUUACGGGCUUACCAAAUCAAAUUGAUGAAGCGUGCAUAACUGAAGGAGCAAUGCCGGGAUAGGAAAUUUCUGCCGGCCUGGCUGGAAUUUAUGAGUAUCUUCUGCUGUCCCAAGGUCGAUCUUAAUCAACCGCUGAUGCCCAACUCAUUUCCUCUUCGAAACGCGUGAAGAAAGGCAAUCAAGACGCGAUACAACCUCUCGUGAGUACAAGAACUCUAAAGUCCAGCCGCACGUCUAAAUUCUUCCGCCAUUCGUUCAACAUUGAUCGGCUCUCCAUUAAAGAAAACUCAAGGAGAAUGGCUAUUGUUAAUCUCACGCAACAAAAAACGUUCCAUGGGCCAAGGACUUGUAUAGUUGCCCAUCCAUUGACCCUCAAAGAUGAUUGCAGCAGCAGCUAUAGUGAAUUUUUAAAGAUGCUUUUAAGGAUAAAAGCGUGAGCCUUUUGUGCUCGCGCAAUUGCCUCACCAAAGGGUCUUUUUGCUCGUUGAAGAGAUACCUGGAUAUUGCUGGAGGCAGCUACUGGUUGCCCAACUGUUCGUUAUUACCUUCACAGACAGGUAGGGGGUACUUGAAGCCAAGUAUCAAUGCAAUCUUGGUAUUCAUCAGAAGUUAACGGGGGACCUGAAUGUGGAAAAUUGGACAGUGUUUGCUGCUGGGUUCGUGACUAAGUUUAAUUCGCUAUGAUCACCUUCUGUGUUUAUAUUUGAUUUUGACGGUUGAGUUGCUGAGUCGAGAUGUAUCCCGCUGCGUUUCGCUAAAGGAGGUUUCCCUUUUUUUUUUCAUUUGUGUUGUAAUUUUGCCAGGACGGAUAAAUGGCAUUUGCAAUUCAAAUUGUUUGGCGUGAGGUUCAACAAGUCCUUGAUUCUACUUUGUUAGUCGUUGCUCAAUAAACUUGUGUAAGCUCUGACCCUGGUUGCCAAUACAUUAUUCACGUUCUUUCAAA